GCGCCGGUGGUGUAAAGGAGUAGAGCAUUCCCGCCCGGUCAGAGGGAGGUGCGGGUUCGAGUCCCGCCUGGCGCU
rfam:Heligmosomoides polygyrus genome assembly, scaffold: HPBE_scaffold0000163